UCAAACUUGGUCAUUUAGAGGAAGUAAAAGUCGUAACAAGGUUUCCGUAGGUGAACCUGCGGAAGGAUCAUUACUGAGGAACUCGCAUCGCUGUGCUGGCCCUCGGGCAUGUGCACGCGUUGCAACUCAAAUCCUUAUACACCUGUGAACUUAUUGGAGAGGAGUAAAAUCCUCUUUCAUAUACACCUUUGUAAACUCAGAACGCGAUGAUAUUAUGUAUCUAAAACAACUUUCAACAACGGAUCUCUUGGCUCUCGCAUCGAUGAAGAACGCAGC
rnacentral:misc_RNA from 1 species